rnacentral:rRNA from 1 species
CUACGGGGUGCUGCAGUGAGGAAUUUUGCGCAAUGGGGGGAACCCUGACGCAGCAACGCCGCGUGAGUGAAGAAGGCCUUUGGGUCGUAAAGCUCUGUCAAUUGGGAAGAAGUUACAAUUGUUUAACAGAUGAUUGUAUUGACGGUACCAAUGGAGGAAGCGCCGGCUAACUCCGUGCCAGCAGCCGCGGUAACACGGGGGGCGCAAGCGUUAUUCGGAAUUAUUGGGCGUAAAGGGCGCGUAGGCGGUCUUGUCGGUCAGAUGUGAAAGCCCGGGGCUCAACCCCGGACGUGCAUUUGAAACAGCAAGACUUGAGUACGGGAGAGGAAAGCGGAAUUCCUGGUGUAGAGGUGAAAUUCGUAGAUAUCAGGAGGAACACCGAUGGCGAAGGCAGCUUUCUGGACCGAUACUGACGCUGAGGCGCGAAGGCGUGGGUAGCGAACAGGAUUAGAUACCCUCGUAGUC